GGUGAACGCUGGCGGUAGGCCUAACACAUGCAAGUCGAACGGCAGCACAGUAAGAGCUUGCUCUUACGGGUGGCGAGUGGCGGACGGGUGAGGAAUACAUCGGAAUCUACUUUUUCGUGGGGGAUAACGUAGGGAAACUUACGCUAAUACCGCAUACGACCUACGGGUGAAAGCAGGGGAUCUUCGGACCUUGCGCGAUUGAAUGAGCCGAUGUCGGAUUAGCUGGUUGGCGGGGUAAAGGCCCACCAAGGCGACGAUCCGUAGCUGGUCUGAGAGGAUGAUCAGCCACACUGGAACUGAGACACGGUCCGGACUCCUACGGGAGGCAGCAGUGGGGAAUAUUGGACAAUGGGCGCAAGCCUGAUCCAGCCAUACCGCGUGGGUGAAGAAGGCCUUCGGGUUGUAAAGCCCUUUUGUUGGGAAAGAAAAGCAGCAGGUUAAUACCCCGCUGUUCUGACGGUACCCAAAGAAUAAGCACCGGCUAACUUCGUG
rnacentral:rRNA from 1 species